rnacentral:rRNA from 1 species
CAGUAGCCACGGUAAUACAGAGGGUGCGAGCGUUAAUCGGAUUUACUGGGCGUAAAGCGUGCGUAGGCGGCUAAUUGAGUCGGAUGUGAAAUCCCCGAGCUUAACUUGGGAAUUGCAUUCGAUACUGGUUAGCUAGAGUGUGGGAGAGGAUGGUAGAAUUCCAGGUGUAGCGGUGAAAUGCGUAGAGAUCUGGAGGAAUACCGAUGGCGAAGGCAGCCAUCUGGCCUAACACUGACGCUGAGGUACGAAAGCAUGGGGAGCAAACAGGAUUAGAUACCCCAGUAGUCCCUGUCUCUUAUAC